AUGUCGUCCUCCUCCGGUGCUUCCUCUGCCGGCCUAAGUGGUCAGGUCACUGAGAUGCUUACUCGCACCAACUAUGUGCUAUGGCGUACCCAGGUGACGCCGCAGCUGAGAGGUGCUGGGGUCUUCGACUAUGUCGAUGGAUCCGCGCCGGAGCCCGUCAAGUUCCUGGUCACCACGGACAAGGACGGGAAAGCACACUCUGCGCCUAACCCCCUUCAUUAGAGUUGGGUUAGAGAAGGUCAGCAGGUACUUGGAUAUCUGUUGAAUAACCUCUCAAACGAAGUUCUCGUGCAGGUUACAUCCAUCACCACGCCGCACGAGCUCUGUGCUACACUGUCGAACAUGUUUUCGUCGCAGUCCCGAUCACGGAUCAACAACAUCCGGAUCACCCUCUCCAACGCGCAGAAGGGAACUCAAACGAUGGUGGCCUACUUAGCUCACAUGCGCUCGCUCGCAGAUGAGCUCACCGCCGCUGGGAAGCCCCUGGAUGAUGACGAGCCGAUCUCCUACAUCACCGGCGGCCUCGACAUGGACUACCAGCCGCUCGUGUCCGCUCUCUACGCGCGCCCUGCUUCUGAACCGGUAACCCUUGAUGAUAUUUUUACCCAGAUGAGCAAUUUUGAUUAG
rnacentral:rRNA from 1 species